GGUACCUGUUUUCCUCCCCUCCAUGGAAUCAUGGGAAGGUUCCGGCGCCAAGUUCCAAGAUGGCGGAAAAACAUCAAACAACAAAACACAAAACGAUCUACAAAAGAAAUGCAUUGAGCAUAUUUUUGUAGUAUUUAAAUUAUAUCAGGUUAUAAAUCGCGAAAAUAUGGCUGGAGCGGGUCGAGAUCUCUUUAAAUGGAAUAGGCAAACUAAGCCUUCUCCGAACUACAACAAGAAUAGUAGUGUCCAGAGUUGGAUAAAGAAUGUAAAAAGAGCAUCUGAUAAUGCAGCACGAGAAAUGUUUGGAAAUGAUUUUCACAGAGUGCUUGAUCAAGUUCAUGUUGAUGAAGAUGCCUUGAUGGAAUGUGACCUCAAAUAACACAAGAUCUCCUUGAUAAAUGGACUCAUGAAAAGCAAGUCCAAAAUAUUGCACCAGAUCUAGAGUUCUAUGAUGAAGCGUGGAUAAAAACAACCCACACAGCUUGUUCCAACUCUUCUAGAAGUAGAGGAGAGGGGAGCUCUAUGUUUUUUCUGACAGAGGAUGGGAGAGUCGAGGUUGGAGGGCUUUAUGAUGACAGUUUUGAAGCAGUUGAAGAUGAAAAGCCUCCUAGACCUGGGCGCGGCGGAGGUCAGAGGCAAGCGCUCGCCUACUCUGAACUCCAAGCUACCAUGGGUCCAAGAGGACGAUUUUAUCUUCAAUGUUGGCAAAAUCCUACAAAAUCCUGCAAAAUCUUGUAGUCCUCCUUCAGAGCCUUAAGGGGGACAGCCUAAGUCAUGGUGGACCCAAGGGCCUGUAGACAGCCUUUUGUAAAACCACACAAACUAAUCAGUACCAUAGAAAUAUUAUGACAACAGGGACAUCCCAUUUGUUGGGAACAUAACGUGAAACAUAAAUGGUAAUGUAAGUGGCAACAUAAUACGCAAAAUUAAAAAUUGGGCCAACCUGCAACUUAAAAACAAAAUUGUGCCCUUCUCAUACCUUACCUGCCAUAUGACAGGAUGCUGUUCUGAUUGGGGUGAUGACUGAGAUACUACAUGUUGGUGAAGCUGUGGUGGUUGCAGAAACAUUUGUGGUGUUGGAAGAUGACACAGUUGAUGAUACUGUUGUGGUGCCAUCUAUACAGCGAAAUAUUAAAAACAGUUAUACAUCUGAAGCACUUUAUUUGACUUCAUAGGAUAUUAAUGAAAUAAAGCAAGUGUUACAAGGUU